CAGUCGCCACGGUAAUACGUAGGGUGCGAGCGUUAAUCGGAAUUACUGGGCGUAAAGCGUGCGCAGGCGGUUGUGUAAGACAGGUGUGAAAUUCCCGGGCUUAACCUGGGAACUGCAUUUGUGACUGGCGGGCUAGAGUAUGGCAGAGGGGGUAGAAUUCCACGUGUAGCAGUGAAAUGCGUAGAGAUGUGGAGGAAUACCGAUGGCGAAGGCAGCCCCCUGGGCCAAUACUGACGCUCAUGCACGAAAGCGUGGGGAGCAAACAGGAUUAGAUACCCGUGUAGUCCCUGUCUCUUAUACA
rnacentral:rRNA from 1 species